rnacentral:tRNA from 1 species
GCCCCCGUGGCCCAAUGGAUAAGGCAGCGGAUUUCUACUCCGACGAUUGCGGGUUCGACUCCUGCCGGGGGCA